rnacentral:lncRNA from 1 species
CAACAGUUGUGCCCUGUACUAACAGACAACAGCUGGUACGGGUGGCUACCAACAUCUUCCUCCCUCAAAGAUCUGAAUUAGAAGUAUACCUUCCCAGUUAUUAAGCAUAAAUCCUUCAUAGGUGCUUUCAGUUUGAUACUAAAAUGGCAGGUGUCUGAUAUCUUGAAGAAUCAAAGACUAGCCAAUCAUCCUAAACUUCUGAAAGAGAGAGAGAGAAAUUGGACUGUCUAGAAGAGACAGACUGGUUGAGAUUCCUAGAAGAGACUUAAACCAACUAAGCCAUUGGGAAAGGAUGCUCUCCAACUGGUUGAGCUAGUUUGUUGUGUAGCGUGCUUCAGGCUCAACAUACACAAGCUGAUGUUCAGAGGAUGCCAAGACUGCAUCUCAUGUAAGAUGAUAUCGACUUUGUUGCACUACCAGAAGCUAGGAAAUGCCACGCAUGUAAUAUCUACAAGGGCCUUUACAGGAAUCACAGCUCUGGAGAUAUACGAAUGUCAUACUAGUGUCCUGAGGAAGGUAGAACCUAUGAAUAAUUCACAUUGUUAGGAAACUUUACCUGUAGAAGAAACAGACAGAACAAGCAAACCAAGCAUGUGGGGAAAAAAUGGGUCCUGAUUCAAUGGAACUGCUUUUUUAAAAGGAGACUUCAAGAGCCUGGGGUUGUAAAGAGAUGUGCAACACUGGCUGAGGUUUCUUUAAAAAAAAAAAGCAAAGAAAUUGCACAAAAAUUUGUCAAGCAUUCCAGCAAUAAAUAUGCCCCAGA